UGUUCUUUACUGUUUUCGGUUUGUCUGCAGCCUAUAAAUUCCUCUCUGAACGUUUCUUCAACAUUUCGCUUUCUGUCGGAUGACCUGCUCAGGAAAUUCUCUCCAACUCAAACAUACAAAUACCACUGAUACAGAACACCCUGCACAGUCUGCAGCAGCCUCUUCGUUAUCCCAACCUUAGAGGGAUUCUUUCAACUGUUGACGCACACUGUAUAUAGGAGCUACCCAGUCGACAACAUUCCCAGGCAUCCCUCACUUGCUCACAGGAGAUUGCCCACAGCUAAAACAUAGAAAUAACGCUGAUACAGAACAGUGUGCAGGCUGUGCAUCUGACUCUUCAUUAUGACCACCUUAGAGGGAUUGCUUCCACUCCUCACGCAAACCGUAUAUACCGGCUAGCCAGUCCACAAGAUUGACACACAUCCCACACGUUCUCACAGCAGCAUCUUCAUUACCGUCACCUUAGAGCGAUUGCUUCAACUGCCAACACAAAUCGUAUAUACAGCCUG